rnacentral:rRNA from 1 species
UCAAGCGAACAAGUGCAUGUGGUGGAUGCCUUGGCGAUCACAGGCGAUGAAGGACGCGGUAGCCUGCGAAAAGCUACGGGGAGCUGGCAAACGAGCUUUGAUCCGUAGAUGUCCGAAUGGGGAAACCCACUCCGAAUGGAGUAUCCAUGACUGAAUACAUAGGUCAUGUGAAGCGAACGCGGUGAACUGAAACAUCUAAGUAACCGCAGGAAAAGAAAUCAACCGAGAUUCCCAGAGUAGUGGCGAGCGAAAUGGGACCAGCCUGUACUCUUUAUCUUCAUUGUUAGUCGAAGGCUCUGGAAAGUGCCGCCAUAGCAGGUGAUAGCCCUGUAGACGAAAACAGCGAGGAAGAACUAGGUGUACGACAAGUAGGGCGGGACACGUGAAAUCCUGUCUGAAGAUGGGGGGACCAUCCUCCAAGGCUAAAUACUCGUGAUCGACCGAUAGUGAACCAGUACCGUGAGGGAAAGGCGAAAAGAACCCCGGGAGGGGAGUGAAACAGAUCCUGAAACCGCAUGCAUACAAACAGUCGGAGCCUCUGCGAAGGGGUGACGGCGUACCUUUUGUAUAAUGGGUCAGCGACUUACAUUCAGUGGCAAGCUUAACCGAUUAGGGCAGGCGUAGCGAAAGCGAGUCCGAACAGGGCGUUCAGUCGCUGGGUGUAGACCCGAAACCAGGUGAUCUAUCCAUGGCCAGGAUGAAGGUGCGGUAACACGUACUGGAGGUCCGAACCCACUAACGUUGAAAAGUUAGGGGAUGAGCUGUGGAUAGGGGUGAAAGGCUAAACAAACCUGGAAAUAGCUGGUUCUCUCCGAAAACUAUUUAGGUAGUGCCUCGUGUAUCACCUUCGGGGGUAGAGCACUGUCAUGGUUGUGGGGUCCAUUGCGGAUUACUACGCCAUAGCAAACUCCGAAUACCGAAGAGUGCAAUCACGGGAGACAGACAUCGGGUGCUAACGUCCGGUGUCAAGAGGGAAACAACCCAGACCGCCAGCUAAGGUCCCCAAAUAUGGCUAAGUGGGAAACGAAGUGGGAAGGCUAAAACAGUCAGGAGGUUGGCUUAGAAGCAGCCAUCCUUUAAAGAAAGCGUAAUAGCUCACUGAUCGAGUCGUCCUGCGCGGAAGAUGUAACGGGGCUAAGCCAUAUACCGAAGCUGCGGAUGCACAUUUAUGUGCAUGGUAGGAGAGCGUUCCGUAAGCCUGCGAAGGUGCACUGGAAAGUGUGCUGGAGGUAUCGGAAGUGCGAAUGCUGACAUGAGUAGCGAUAAAGGGGGUGAAAGGCCCCCUCGCCGUAAGCCCAAGGUUUCCUACGCAACGUUCAUCGGCGUAGGGUGAGUCGGCCCCUAAGGCGAGGCAGAAAUGCGUAGCUGAUGGGAAGCAGGUUAAUAUUCCUGCACCAUUGUUGAAUGCGAUGGGGGGACGGAUCGCGGAAGGUUGUCCGGGUGUUGGAAGUCCCGGUCCUUGCAUUGGAGAAGGCGCUUUGGCAAAUCCGGGCGCGUAAUUCAAGGGUGUGAGGCCAGUCACUUCGGUGACGAAGCAAUCGGAAGUGGUUCCAGGAAAAGCCUCUAAGCUUCAGUUCAACAAGACCGUACCGCAAACCGACACAGGUGGGCGAGAUGAGUAUUCUAAGGCGCUUGAGAGAACUCGGGAGAAGGAACUCGGCAAAUUGGUACCGUAACUUCGGGAUAAGGUACGCCCCUGUAGCUUGACUGGCCUGCGCCAGGAGGGUGAAGGGGUUGCAAUAAACUGGUGGCUGCGACUGUUUAAUAAAAACACAGCACUCUGCAAACACGAAAGUGGACGUAUAGGGUGUGACGCCUGCCCGGUGCCGGAAGAUUAAAUGAUGGGGUGCAAGCUCCUGAUUGAAGUCCCGGUAAACGGCGGCCGUAACUAUAACGGUCCUAAGGUAGCGAAAUUCCUUGUCGGGUAAGUUCCGACCUGCACGAAUGGCGUAACGAUGGCCACACUGUCUCCUCCCGAGACUCAGCGAAGUUGAAGUGUUUGUGAUGAUGCAAUCUCCCCGCGGCUAGACGGAAAGACCCCAUGAACCUUUACUGUAGCUUUGCAUUGGACUUUGAACCGGUCUGUGUAGGAUAGGUGGGAGGCUAUGAAGCGUGGACGCCAGUCUGCGUGGAGCCAUCCUUGAAAUACCACCCUGAUCUGUUUGAGGUUCUAACCUUGGUCCGUAAUCCGGAUCGGGGACAGUGCAUGGUAGGCAGUUUGACUGGGGCGGUCUCCUCCCAAAGUGUAACGGAGGAGUACGAAGGUACGCUAGGUACGGUCGGAAAUCGUGCUGAUAGUGCAAUGGCAUAAGCGUGCUUAACUGCGAGACCGACAAGUCGAGCAGGUGCGAAAGCAGGUCAUAGUGAUCCGGUGGUUCUGUAUGGAAGGGCCAUCGCUCAACGGAUAAAAGGUACUCUGGGGAUAACAGGCUGAUACCGCCCAAGAGUUCAUAUCGACGGCGGUGUUUGGCACCUCGAUGUCGGCUCAUCUCAUCCUGGGGCUGUAGCCGGUCCCAAGGGUAUGGCUGUUCGCCAUUUAAAGAGGUACGUGAGCUGGGUUUAAAACGUCGUGAGACAGUUUGGUCCCUAUCUGCCGUGGGCGCUGGAUAUUUGAAGGGGGCUGCUCCUAGUACGAGAGGACCGGAGUGGACGAACCUCUGGUGUACCGGUUGUCACGCCAGUGGCAUCGCCGGGUAGCUAUGUUCGGAAGAGAUAACCGCUGAAAGCAUCUAAGCGGGAAACUCGCCUUAAGAUGAGAUAUCCCCGGGGCUUCGAGCCCCUUGAAGGGUCGUUCAAGACCAGGACGUUGAUAGGUCAGGUGUGUAAGCGCAGUAAUGUGCUCAGCUAACUGAUACUAAUUGCCCGUAAGGCUUGAUCCU